CUCCUCAGUGGAAACUGAUGGAUCGGAAGGUUGAAAGUGCUGGCUGCUGCUACAAAAGAUUAACAAAUCCGAGCUUGUGUGUCAGUGUGUGAUCUUUUACCUUCCUAUCAAUAAAGUGAUCUAAGUGUUAUUGUUUUAUCGAUCACUCUUAUAUGAAAUGAAAACAGUGUUUUGUUUGUUCAAAACGAGGGCAAAAUAAUCACAAAAAUGAGGCCACUAAUAAGAUGAUAGAUAAACAUUAUUACCAAAUGUUAUUAAACUUGGAUUGUUCAUCGAUUCCUUAAGGAUACUAUGUUGGAUUGAACCGGUUAGAUGUAUAUAUAUAUAUAUAAAAUUAAGAAAUUAUAAUAGACGAUAAAUAAAAAUGACCAAUAUUAUUAAAUUUGAAAGGGUAAUCGACUCGGUCAUUGUAAAUUUAUACUAGACUAAAGGUAAAAAAAUAAAAAUAUUCAUAAUACACUUGCUCUCCCCAAACUGCGGGACACAACCUAUAGCGUUAGAGUAGGAUGUUGGUAUGAUGGCUUUAAAUCCAUACAUGUUUUUAUACUAUGUCUUGUUUUAAUAUUCUUUCUAAUGGCUUGUGUUCUCAAAUUGAAAAAUUGAAAGUAUUAAAAGCAUGUUCUAUUAGGGUAACGAGGUCUUGAUUUCCAGGUUGCACUUGUGGGGAAAAUUUGGUGAAGGAUCAUGUCUCGUCUAGUAUUAGAAUUCUUUCCUCUCUAUUUCAUACUGUAUUUUGGGGAACAAUUUACUUUUUCCUAGAGUCAGGUUCUAUUUGGAGCAAACUUUGAGUCGUGCUUGUGGACUUAAUUCAUCCCUCGUUGGUGGCGUCUUGGACUGGUCGAAAACUUCAUACUAUUCUUCUAGUGUAUAUAAAAAAUCUAUUUGAUAAAUCUUUUAUACUUAUAAAACAUUAAACAUGAUGGAUCAUGAUUAUUUGUUGAAUGACUUUUCAUUUCCUGUCUCGUCAAUAAAAUUACAUCGUGUUAAUUAAAAAUUAUUUAUGUAGGUUAUAAAUGUUAUAUUUAUAUAUUUUUUUAAUUGACAUAUCUUGAAUUUAUUGGUUAGGACAGAAAAUGAGACAUCAUUUAAUAAUAAAAUAUCUCAAUCCAAAACAUAACAUGAUACAAGUGUAUAUGUAGUUAAUUUUAUGAUUAUGUUAUGUCUGAUAUGCAUCAAACAUGCAUACAUGAUAUAAUAUCUAUUGAACCCGGUGUGUGCUAAGGGCACAAGUUUCUAUAUAUAAUUUUAAAGUUAAUAAUAAAAUAAAAGGGGUGAAGUUAGAACCAUAAAUAUAGUAUGUGUCAUACAUAAUAUAAGUGGAAGAAAUAAAAAGUAUUCGGUGGUACAAUGAGAUAACGGUAAAUUUUACCUUGCAUGGCUCAAAUAGGAUUGUUUAAUGGAUGACAUAUAUAUUGUGGUAUAAGCAAAAUUAUUUCAAAAGCCAUCAAUUAAAGUAGAAAUAGUGAAUAAGUAUCAAUAUGAAACGACAAAAAUAAAAGUAAGCAUGAAACAUACAAAUAGAAUAUUCAAUUGUAGAAUAGAAUUGAACUAGAAGCACCUCACCCCUCUCUAUAUAAACCCUUCUCUACUUGAAUCAUUUCAAGCCACAUCAAAAACCAACCACAUCCUUAAGAAAGUGUGUUGUUGAGUAUUGUGGUCUGAGUGAGGGACUAUGGCACCAGCAAAAGGAUCAUCCCUCACCCCAAUCCAGGUGGAGAACCUUCAAUUUCCUGCGUCUGUCACCUCUCCAGCCACCGCCAAGUCUUAUUUCCUCGGUGGUGCAGGUAAUUCUAAUUAAUUAGUUCUAAUAAAUUCCUUGCUUAUAAUUGUCUAUUAUCAUAAAUACUUAAUUAUUUAUUCAAAGUGACAUAAUAUGUACAUGUUGAUUAAUUGUUGGUUUUUGAAUUAAUGUGUAGGGGAGAGAGGGUUGACGAUUGAGGGGAAGUUCAUAAAAUUCACUGGCAUAGGAGUGUAUUUGGAAGAUACAGCAGUGGAUUCACUCGCCACCAAGUGGAAGGGUAAGAGCUCACAAGAGUUGCAGGACUCCCUUGACUUCUUCAGAGACAUCAUUUCAAGUAUGAAUUCUUCACUCCCUCUCUCUACUUUUGUUGUUUAGCUCUUUUGAUGGUUUUUUUUUUAAAAUAAACUAAAGAAUUAUAUUCAAACUAGCAUAAUAGAUGCUAAACCCGAAUAUAAGAAAAAGAAAAUACAAACUGAAAGGAAGCAACCAGUUAUAGAAAGAAUUAAUUUUAUCAUAUUUUUUACCGUGUAUCCGAACAUAUACACGUAAAUUAACUUACAUAAUGAAUAUGAGUAGCUUUGACUUGUCGUCAACUAGAAGAGCACGAGUCCUAGUUGGUGUAAAAGUCCUAGCUACUUGGUCUCAACAUACAUGCAUGCACUUGCUUUUCCAAAAGUAUGAUUAUCACCAAAAGUUUCAACUAAUUCAUUCUUUGUAGUAAUAAAGUAGAAUUAAAUUUCAUGUUUGAAGGUUUUAAAAUAUGAAUAAUUGUUUAGAAACUAAUUGUUUAAUUUAAUUUGCAGGUCCCUCUGAGAAGUUAAUUCGAGGGUCCAAGCUGAGGCCAUUGAGUGGCGUGGAGUAUUCAAGAAAGGUGAUGGAGAAUUGUGUGGCACACAUGAAGUCUGCUGGAACUUAUGGUGAAGCAGAGGCCACAGCCAUUGAAAAAUUUGCAGAAGCCUUCAGGAAGGUGGAUUUUCCACCAGGUUCCUCUGUUUUCUACCGACAAUCAACAGAUGGAAAAUUAGGGGUUAGUAUAUACCGCGAGUCUUGUUUCUUAUUGAAUUUUAACUAGUAUUUUAACCCGUGCUAUGCAGAGAGAAAACAUUUUAUUAAAGUUUAGAUUGUUAUGAUUAACUAAUAUAAUGUUUCUUCUUUGUGUUGUUGUUUUUGAAAACCACACAGCUUAGUUUCUCUUUGGAUGACACGAUACCAGAAGAAGAGGCUGUAGUUAUAGAGAACAAGGCACUCUCAGAGGCAGUGUUAGAGACCAUGAUUGGCGAGCAUGCUGUUUCCCCUGAUUUGAAGCGUUGUUUGGCUGAAAGGUUGCCUAUUGUGAUGAACCAGGGUCUUCUCCUCACUGGAAACUGACAAGAUUGAAAAGUUUUGGCUGCUGCAAAAGAUAAAGAACUUAAGCUUUUUGAAAUAUCGAAGCUUAAUUUGUUUGUGUAUCUUUUACCUUCCUAUCAAUAAAGUGAUCAAAGUGUGCUAUAUUUUCUACUCUUCUGUGUUUCUAUUGUUUUAUCACUGAAAUGACAUGAAAACAUUGGGUUCAAAAAGAGGCUAAUGGCAAAAUAAUGACAAAAAGAGGCUAAUUAAAAGAUGGUAAAUAACACUACCUGUUAAACUUGGACGGCUUAUGGAUUCGAUCAUGAUGCUAGAAUAAUUGAUUGAACCAAAUCGAUAAUUUUUUAGUGUGAU
rnacentral:lncRNA from 1 species